AGAUCCGCUAGAUCAUCUUGACGAGUUUGAAAGACUCUGUGGCCUUACUAAAAUCAAUGGAGUUAGUGAAGAUGGUUUAAGCUUCGCUUGUUUCCAUUCUCACUUGGAGAUAAAGCCCAU
rnacentral:sRNA from 1 species